rnacentral:lncRNA from 1 species
UGUUAAAUAGGCUAGGUUUUGUUUUAAGGUUGAGGGGGGAGGGGAGUAGUUAUUGUCCGUCGAAUAAGUUCCCAAAGGUGCUCCACUCCCAGCCACCUGCCUCCCCGCGGCUCCAGGAGCUGGGUGCACGGAAAAAGAAACUGUCGCUGGGAAAGGAGGGGUUGGAGAAAAGCCGGGAGCCCCCAAGCUCCCCAAGAGGUAGAAAGUUCCUUCUCACCCAGACACUCCGGACUCUCCUCGGCCCCCGCCUGGCAGCCGCGAAACAGAGGUGGCGGCGGGGAUCCAGGGCAGGAAAGGGCGGGGAAGGGGGCGGUGAUUAUUCUCAACCCUCGGCCCAGGGGGAGGAGUGGAGCACCUCUCGGGCACCUGAGGUUCAACUAGGAGAGGAGGGAGGUGUGUGCGGUGGCCAGAAGGAAGGGGAGGCCCGGCGGAUUCGGCGAGAAGGGGAGGGAGGAGAGAGAGAGCCUCCUGGCGCGGACGGAACCCGCCUCUCGUUGCCAAGGUGUCUUCUUGGAAUCGAAGAAGGACACCUGAGGGACCGUUACUAGCCAGAGAGGUGGCAGCGCCGGAGUCACCGAGGCUGCCGUGCUCGUCUAAGGGGAGCAGAGUCCCCACCCCUGACAGCUUGCCGCUGCUGCCCGCCUGCCGCGCCCGGCGAAAACUCGGAAAGAGAUUUCCACUGGGAUGCCCUGCCAGCUGCCACCUUCAUUCGGAAGGCGGUGUGGGGCUAAAGAUCCUGAGGACGAGGAACGGGAAAGAUUCCUUGCUUUACAGCUGCCGCCCCACCAAACCUCUCCCACAUUCUAAGCAAAGGAGGAUUCCUGGGACAGCUGCUCCGAACAGAGUGGAGGCGGGGUUAAUUUGCGCCUAGAUCGCUGAGGGGUGUUUUUCCUCUCCUGAUCUUCUAAUUUGAAAGUUAGGUUCGCAUCGUUCUCAGUUUAAGAGACCAAUUAUAUGGGGAUAGAAACCAGCACAGGUCAUCAUAAUCUGGGCCCCUCCCGUCCACUCCCACUAUUAAGGUUACUGUUAACAUUAUUAACAGUAAAGCAUUCUUCCUGAUGCAUUAGUGGAAAACAUAUUAUAGAGGAAAGUAGCUUUUCACCCUUAGGGUACUCUUUGAAUCCUUAAGGCCUUAAAAAUAGAUAAUGUUUAAAAUACUCGCAGUUAAAAGAAAAAGAAAAGAAAAGAAAAGAACUCGCAGUUAAAAGGAACCAAAAGGUGGGGUCAAAGAAAAGUUACGAAGUUCUACAGAGAAGUCAGAAGAAAAAUUAUAUUGGUUUGAGAGAGGCAAUAGUUUCCCUGAGAAAAAGUUAUUUGAGAUGGGCUUGGAAAGUGAACUGGAUUUUAUCACAUGGAACUAUGGGAGGAGGGAGGCAGCGUGAGAAAAGAGAGGCACAGGAAUGUCCACUGUAGAAGUUUUAAAAGUUUACAACUUUUUGGAGUUCCAGUCAUGGUGCAGUGGAAGCAAAUCUGACUAGGAGCCAUGAGGUUGCAGGUUGGGUCCCUGGCCUUGCUCAGUGGGUUAAGGAUCUGGCAUUGCCAUGAGCUGUGGUGCAGGUCACAGACGCACUAAAAUGAAUUCAACUGUACCGCAUCUCAUGGUUACAAAUGUUUGUUAAAGAUUUGUUUUCCAUGAGUAGGUUUAAUAUCCCAAAUGUUUUUCUCAUGAUCUGAAAUGAUGACUUGUACAUUGCCAGGGUAAAAGGCAGUAUCAACAGCUUGCCAUUCCUGAAAAUUUAAGCACCUCAGGUUUAUAUUCUAAGUCCUUCAAUGAAUGUCAGCAAAAGGGGGAAGUAGGUGUGCCAGCAGGAGAGAGACAACUUUCACUUCACUGUUAACGCAUUCGGAAGGAGGAAGGCAGGCAUUAAGCCUGACUUCUCACAGAAUCUUGUUGCCUGGGUUUGGACAAAUAGUUUAACCUUGAGUAUGUUAACAUAUCUGGCGAAUAAGUGCUAGUAGAAUAUUCACUAACAAAUAAAUGUCCUCCAUUGAGAAGAAACAGAUAAUAAUAGUGAAACACCCUAAACACAGAGUGGUCACAGGUAUUCAAUCUAAAUGAUCUAAGGUUAAGUUUUGUGUCUGUCAUGGAUUUGUCAGCUCCCUAUUAACGCUGUUCUACUGGUGAAACAAAAGGAGACAUAAGACAAUUAGCCAACUGUUGUUUACAAUUUUUCAGAAUUAUUCAGUCUCCUGCUUUACUUUGCCUCUGGUUACAGUAAAAUAGUUGGCAAUAAUCAGAGGUUCACUGCAGAAGGAAGGACGAGGAAAACUUCACUUCUAGCUAAGUCACAGUUAAAACAACAGUAGCUGUGGAUUAUCGUGUAGGUGUGAAGAAUACAGCCGUUCAGUUCCCCCUCAUGGCUCAGCGAUUAAUGAACCUGACUAGUAUCCACAAAGAGGAGGGUUUGAUCCCUGGCCUCACUCAGUGGGUUAAGGAUCCAGCAUUGCCAUCAGCUGUGGUGUAGGUCACAGAUGCGGCGCAGAUUCUCCGUUGCUGUGGCUGUGGUGUAGGCUGGCAGCUGUAGCUCUGGUCUGACCCCCUAGCCUGGGAACCUCCAUGUGCCCAGGGUAUGGCCCUAAAAAGACAAAAAAAAAAAAAAAGAGUACAGCCAUGGAGUGCUUCAGGUGAACUAUUAAGCUCCAUCAUGGCACAAUACUUUGAACAUUGUAUAUACACAAUACAUACUUGGAUUGAGUUAAAACUCUAAAGUGACUUGCUUUAAUUUUUCUAUCCUGAAAACCCUUGCUUGGAGUUCCCAUCGUGGCUCAGUGGUUAAUGAAUCCGACUAGGAACCAUGAGGUUUCGGGUUUGAUCCCUGGCCUUGCUCAGUGGGUUUAGGAUCUGGCGUCGCCAUGAGCUGGGGUGUAGGUUGCAGACACGGCUAGGAUCCUGCAUUGCUGUGGCUCUGGCAUAGGCCAGUGGCCACAGCUCCGAUUAGACCCCUAGCCUGGGAACCUCCAUAUGCCACGGGUGCGGCCCUAGGAAAGGCAAAAAGACCAAAAAAAAAAACCUUGCUUGAGUCUAUACAACUACCACUAGUUAGAGAAAGGAAAUUCCUAGUAUAAAAGACUAAUAUGGAAAGCAGUUUUAUCAUUUGUUAAAAUUUGUUUAUAUUUUGGGUACCUUUAUGUAGCCAAAGUCUAGUCAAAAGACUUAACAGGAACUAUCAGCAGAUGGUUUUAUAGGACUGCCUUAUUUGUAUACCCAUAUCCUACACGCAACUCACAAAAAAAGAAAAAGGGG